GACGAACGCUGGCGGUGUGCUUAACACAUGCAAGUCGAACGGAAAGGCCCUGCUUUUGUGGGGUGCUCGAGUGGCGAACGGGUGAGUAACACGUGAGUAACCUGCCCUUGACUUUGGGAUAACUUCAGGAAACUGGGGCUAAUACCGGAUAGGAGCUCCUGCUGCAUGGUGGGGGUUGGAAAGUUUCGGCGGUUGGGGAUGGACUCGCGGCUUAUCAGCUUGUUGGUGGGGUAGUGGCUUACCAAGGCUUUGACGGGUAGCCGGCCUGAGAGGGUGACCGGCCACAUUGGGACUGAGAUACGGCCCAGACUCCUACGGGAGGCAGCAGUGGGGAAUAUUGCACAAUGGGCGGAAGCCUGAUGCAGCAACGCCGCGUGCGGGAUGACGGCCUUCGGGUUGUAAACCGCUUUCGCCUGUGACGAAGCGUGAGUGACGGUAAUGGGUAAAGAAGCACAGGCUAACUACGUG
rnacentral:rRNA from 1 species